ACCCUCCACUUACUAGUUAUGGCAAUGCAAUUACGCUCUUUGCUCUUGUGUGUGCUGCUGCUUCUCCUUGGCUUUGCUUUGGCAGAUACCAAUGCUGCUGCCAGGAUCCAUCCACCCGUUGUCUGUGCAAAUCUCAGCAGGGCCAAUUUCGAUAUUCUUGUACCAGGCUUCGUAUUUGGGGCUGCUACAGCAUCUUACCAAGUCAGUGCAUGCCUUCCGGGGGCUUAAUUAAUUGUGUUUCAUAUGGUUACUUAAUUAAGUUUCAUUUGAUUUCAUUGUCAGAUAUCAUUCUGAAUAUAUAUAUACAUUUCAGGUAGAAGGUGCUGCAAACUUGGACGGUAGAGGACCAAGCAUAUGGGAUACUUUCACCCACAAACAUCCAGGUCUGUUGAAUCAAACAAUCAAAUCUUUUUAUUUUGAUGAUCAGCUACUUCAUUUCAAAACAUAUUAUAUAUACAGCUAAUUCAUUCGUUGCUUUUUUUAAUUUAAGCUUUCUACCUCAGUAUCUCUGGUGUCAUUCUUUUCCCUCUUAUAUUUGUUUUCUCCAAAUCCUUUCGGUAAUUAAAUAUACGUUUUUCAAUGUCUAAACAAGCCAAUACUCCAUGGAAAUUUGUUAUUCUGGACUUACCCUUGUGUUUUAAGUGUUAUAAAAGUGUUCAAUGGAAAUUAAUUUAGAACUAUCGCUUGUAUCAAAAUAAACCGAACUUUAUGCUCUAAAUAAUUAAAAUUAUAUUUGGUCAUUGCAGAAAAGAUCGCUGAUGGCAGCAAUGGAGAUGUUGCUAUUGAUCAAUAUCACCGCUAUAAGGUUUGAAAAUCAUAUAAUUUUACUAUGUAGACCUUCUAUAUUCGAAUUUGAAGGACAAACGACAUUUAUGAUGAAAUCCUUAUAUUUUGGCUUCUUUCUUAUAAUUGUGUUUAUCUUUUGUGUCAUUACAGGAAGAUGUGGCAAUUAUGAAAGAUAUGGGGUUGGAAUCGUAUAGAUUCUCUAUCUCAUGGUCCAGAGUGUUACCAAGUAAGUUCAUCAUUCGCAUCCACAUAUUUUAUUAGGACCAAUCACUUUAUAGUUUAACAUGUUUUAUUCAAUUUAAUUUCUAUUUCUCGAUGGGUAAUUGCUUAUAUUUUCUUGUUUUGUUUUAAUUAUUAUUAGAUGGAACUCUAAGUGGUGGAAUUAACAAGAAAGGAAUCGAAUACUACAACAAUCUCAUCAAUGAACUCCUACACAAUGGUGAUACGACUGUCAAUCUCAUAUAUCGUCCUAAUAUAUAAAAACAGCAAAUGCAUUUAUUUAAUCAUACUUUUAAUUUUAUGUUACUGGUCAUAUGCUAUACAUAGGUAUAGAGCCAUUAGUGACACUCUUUCACUGGGAUGUUCCCCAAACCUUAGAGGACGAAUAUGGUGGUUUCUUAAGCAAUCGUAUUGUGUAAGUGAACAACUUUUUUUCCUUUAUAUAAUAUUGAUCAUUUAAUUAUAUAACUACAACUAUUAUAACAAAUACAUUUUGAAAUGUGUACACACAGCAAUGACUUUGAAGAAUACGCAGAACUUUGUUUUAAGAAAUUUGGUGAUCGAGUGAAGCAUUGGACCACACUUAAUGAGCCAUAUACCUUUAGUAGCCAUGGUUAUGCAAAGGGGACCCACGCACCAGGACGAUGCUCUGCUUGGUAUAACCAAACAUGCUUUGGUGGAGAUUCAGCUACUGAACCAUAUUUGGUGACACACAACCUACUCCUUGCUCAUGCAGCCGCUGUAAAAUUGUACAAAACAAAAUAUCAGGUCCUUUAAUUAAUUUUUUAUUAUUGGAAUAUUGAGGCCUAAUUGAGAAUUUGAUAUGAGUCAAUAGUAUUAAGCAACAAUAUAAUUGUGAAUAUAUAUAUAUAUAUAUUUAUUUAUUUAUUUCUGACUCAAAAUCAACAAAAAAUAUUUAUCUUUCUCGAGUAGGCAUAUCAAAAAGGUGUGAUAGGAAUAACAGUGGUAACACCUUGGUUUGAGCCCGCUUCAGAGGCAAAGGAAGACAUAGAUGCUGUAUUUCGAGCUUUGGAUUUUAUAUAUGGAUGGUAAUAAGUAUACUAUUAUUUUAUAUAUCAACUCAUUUAAAUACUUUAUUUAUGAAUUAUAAUAUUAGCUAGCUAGCUAAUAGCACUUUAUAUAAUAUUAUAAGUUUACGCUUAAACUUUUCAUAUUUUCAUAGGUUUAUGGACCCAUUGACAAGAGGUGACUAUCCGCAGAGCAUGCGAUCUCUUGUUGGAGAACGAUUACCAAAUUUCACAAAAAAAGAAUCCAAGUCACUGAGUGGGUCAUUUGAUUAUAUUGGAAUAAACUACUAUUCUGCUAGAUAUGCAAGCGCUUCUAAGAAUUAUUCUGGACAUCCAAGCUACUUAAAUGAUGUUAAUGUUGAUGUAAAAAGUGAGUACAAAUUAAAAACUUCAAGUAAUUAAUUAUGUUCUUAUAAUGACUACAUCCUAAUAUUCAUAUUAAUAUAUGUUGUCGCAGCUGAGCUUAAUGGAGUUCCCAUUGGUCCACAGGUACGCAUCAAAGUAUUUGUUUAAUCUAUUGGCAUUUGGACAAUUAAUACCUAUAUACCUAUAUACCUAUAUAUAUAUAUAUAUUCCCAAAAGUCUCACUAAUCUUCAAAUGGGAUUGCAGGCUGCUUCAAGCUGGUUAUAUUUUUACCCAAAAGGACUUUAUGAUCUUCUAUGCUACACAAAGGAAAAGUAUAAUGAUCCAAUCAUAUACAUUACUGAGAAUGGUAAUUAAUACUUUUGAGCAUUAAUGUUUCACAUAUAUGUAUAAUGGUGUAAAAUAUAGUUAAGUGCUGUAAACUCUAAAUUUAAAACUAAAUGCACAUUGCCAAUAUGAGGUAGCCAAGUGGCAAAAGGUCUUCACUUGCAGAUCAGUAGUCUCAGGCUCGAACCCCAAUAACACUUUUGUAGUGAGAGAGAGAGAGAGAGAGAGAGAGAGAGAGAGAGAGAGAGAGAGAGAGACCCCAUAUUUCUCUGUAGUUUAAACUAUCGUUUAUAUUAAUAAUAAAUUUAAAAAAACUAAAUGCAGAUUUCUUUUUUAGAGGAAAAAAAUGUGUGCAUAAGAUACUUCAUUAUACUGCAGGUGUGGAUGAAUUCAAUCAGCCCAAUCCCAAAUUAUCACUUUGCCAACUCCUUGAUGAUAGCAAUAGAAUUUACUACUAUUAUCACCACCUUUGUUACCUCCAAGCAGCAAUUAAGUAAGUGUUUGUCAACAUUUUAAUUAAGGCUAUAUAUGUAUGGAGCCUCCUUACAUUUCGGUUAUUUAAUCACUAAAUUGACCCAAAUACAUUCUUUUUAUUUAUUUUUCUUUUGUGUGUUUGCAGAGAGGGUGUUAAAGUGAAGGGAUACUUUGCAUGGUCAUUGCUAGACAACUUUGAAUGGGACAAUGGAUAUACUGUUCGAUUUGGUAUCAACUAUGUUGAUUACGACAACGGACUGAAAAGACACUCAAAACACUCAACGCACUGGUUCAAAAGUUUCCUCAAGAAAUCUUCAAGGAACACGAAAAAGAUCCGAAGAUGUGGGAACAACAAUACUAGCGCUACCAAGUUUGUGUUUUAAAUUUGAAUCCAUGUGAUGAAUAAAAUACAACUCCUUCUCCAUAGAGUUGUUGUUCGAGUUGUUUUUCAUGUUUUAAAUUUAUGUUUGGCUCUUUCUGAGUCGAAAUAAGUUGCAGCAACUCAUUGUGAGUUAGUUGUCUCUCCUUGUGAGUGUUUAGUUUUAAUUUUACUUUACAUCAUGUGCUUGGUUUAUCAACGUUUGUUUGCUUUAUGUGGUAGAGGUGCUUUGACCCUUUUCGGAUGUGGUUGGAGGGAUACCUUAUGUCUAAAUAUUGUUGAUGUAUCCUUCAUGUGUUUGUAUUAGUCCAUGUGGUCAGUGGCUCUUUAUGGCUAAAUUAUGAAUGCAAUUCCUCUAGAUAAAAAAUUGUGAAUAAAAAUAAAAACUGAAAUAAAUGAAUGUUCAGCCCCCACCAAA
rnacentral:lncRNA from 1 species